ACUCAAAUGAAUAGACGGGGACCCGCACAAGCGGUGGAGCAUGUGGUUUAAUUCGAAGCAACGCGAAGAACCUUACCAAGUCUUGACAUCCCUCUGACAGAGCAUGUAAUGUGCUUUUCCUUCGGGACAGAGGUGACAGGUGGUGCAUGGUUGUCGUCAGCUCGUGUCGUGAGAUGUUGGGUUAAGUCCCGCAACGAGCGCAACCCUUAUUGUUAGUAGCCAGCAGUUCGGCUGGGCACUCUAAUGAGACUGCCAGGGAUAACCUGGAGGAAGGUGGGGAUGACGUCAAAUCAUCAUGCCCCUUAUGACUUGGGCUACACACGUGCUACAAUGGCGUAAACAAAGAGAAGCGAAUCCGCGAGGCCAAGCAAAUCUCAAAAAUAACGUCUCAGUUCGGAUUGUAGUCUGCAACUCGACUACAUGAAGCUGGAAUCGCUAGUAAUCGCAGAUCAGAAUGCUGCGGUGAAUACGUUCCCGGGUCUUGUACACACCGCCCGU
rnacentral:rRNA from 1 species